rnacentral:rRNA from 1 species
GAUGAACGCUGGCGGCAGGCUUAAUACAUGCAAGUCGAGGGGUAGCAAGAUUGUAGCAAUACAAUUGUUGACGACCGGCAAACGGGUGCGGAACACGUACACAACCUUCCUACAAGUGGGGAAUAGCCCAGAGAAAUUUGGAUUAAUACCCCGUAACAUAGCGAUGUGGCAUCACAUUGCUAUUAUAGCUUCGGCGCUUGUUGAUGGGUGUGCGGCUGGUUAGAUAGUUGGCGGGGUAACGGCCCACCAAGUCUACGAUCAGUAGCUGAUGUGAGAGAAUGAUCAGCCACACGGGAACUGGGACACGGGCCCGACUCCUACGGGAGGCAGCAGUAAGGAAUAUUGGACAAUGGACGCAAGUCUGAUCCAGCCAUGCCGCGUGAAGGAUUAAGGUCCUCUGGAUUGUAAACUUCUUUUAUAAGGGACGAAAAAAGGUCUUUCUAGAUCGUCUGACGGUACCUUAUGAAUAAGCACCGGCUAACUCCGUGCCAGCAGCCGCCGUAAUAC